AAACUGGUGACGCAGGGCCCUUCCCGCUAAUAUUUCCAAUGCGCUCGCGCGCCUUUCUUGCACGCGCACCUGUUCCCAUAGCAGCACACUGAGUCUCAGAAUGUCUCUGUCAACGUUAUCCUCCGAUGAGCUGAUCCAAACAUUGAUAGACGGCGGUUUAACUAUGACAGAUGAAGAAGCGAAGACAUUCAGAGUCAAACUGAAACACUGGCGGCGAGCUCCAGGUCCUGCAGCCGCAGACGGACCGUCAUCAGUGGAGAUCGGGCAGCAUGGAACCAUUGCUAGAAAGCUUCGCUGCGGACCUUCACCAAAAGACCUACCACAGAAGGUAGAGUCACCUAAAGAUGCUCCCCAGAAGGUACCUUCAGCUUCACCUUAAGAUGAAGCCGGUGAUUUUUUUUUUUUAAGCUGUUUUAUGCAGCAGAAAUCUCUGAUCGACUCUUCUGGGCUUUCGGUGAAGCGAGCGAUGGAAAAAGAGCCUCCACAGACGAUACCCAAAACCGUUCUCACUAAAAAGACUGACACACUGCAAGGGGGAAAACCACAACAGGCUCCUACAUCCACGGAUGCUCCACAGCCAGCUGCUAUACCCGAGGUUGCUCCACCGCAAGCUAGUGCUGCACCCAAAGGUUCGGUCCAGCAGGCUGCUACACCUAAAGACCUUCCACAGAAAGUACACUCUUAGAAUUAAAGGUACAGAAAAGUAAAAAAAAGAAAAAAGGUACAAAUGCUCAGUGCUGGGGCAGUGCCCCCAAGGGGACCAACCUUGUACCAGAGUAAUGGGUACAAAGAAGUACCCGUACAGUUUGUGCCUUUUAGGUACAAACGUGUACCUUUGAAUAUGUUCUUUCAAGGGUAUAAAUGGCUCGUCGCUGGGGCGGUACCCCUGAGGUACAGCAAUGGUACCCUUACCAUAGAUACAGAGUUGUACCCUUUUAUACUGUACCUUUUGAGAGACAAUUUUGUACCCUAGCAAUACAUUUUUACCUUAAUCCACUGGUACAUAAAGGUACGCCAUUAGAUGGUACCAAUUUGUUCUCGUUAGGGGUACCACCAAAGCGACGAUAGACAUUGUACGUAUAAAGCUAGAAAAAUGUCCUGGUUAAAUAGAAAGGAAUGAGGCAAUGUUUUGUUUUUCCACAAUCAAUGAUUUAAAAGAAGUUAAAUUGUACAAAUUUAAAUAUUGGAAAGUGAAUAACAUUCGCACACCACAAUCUUCAUUUGCAAUAAACUUUAAUGAACAAAGUUUUUCACAUU